AAAAUUGGGGAAGUUGGGUUCUAUUGAAAGACAAAGAGAGAGAUUGAGAGAAAGUUGAGGGAAAACUAUGAGGAAUGAUGAUAUUGUGAAGUGUGAAAAUAGUGUAGUAUGAAUAGGUAUUUAUAGAAGAAAACAAAAGGAAAAAAGGCAAAGUGCCGUUGGAGGAAAAGAAAAGAAAAAUAAAAAACUGCAAUAACCGUUGAAAAAAACGAAAAAAAAAAAAGAAAAUUAAAAAUCGAUCGAAUAGCCGUUGAGAUUUCAAAUUUUAAACACAUGCAUGAUAUAUAAUCGGAUGAGUCAAGUUAUCCUAUCGCGCCACGCCUCGAGCCACC
rnacentral:lncRNA from 1 species